rnacentral:lncRNA from 10 species
AUGCUAUCGCUGGUUCCUGUUUGUCCACACCUCCAGCUGAGGGGGGAGGUGUUCCUGGGGGCAGAUUGUGUUUGCAGUCGCAUCUCUCCACGUCGCCUGCCUUCGCUGGCUCCGGCCUGGGCCUGGAUGUCUUAUCUUACUUUAUGGGUUCACCCACUGUGGGGAGGAAGGCUAGCAAACGCGGGCUCAGGAUGCGCCCUGGCGCUUCUUUAUUUAUUUAAUCAAUUUCAGCACGUAAAGGAGAACUUACUUAUUUCUCAACACUUCUUUCUGUUUCCUGAAAGGCUGAAAAAGUGACAGUGACAGGAAUUUGGAACCUGGGAGCUUCUUGGCGUCUCCUUCUCACACUCUGCCUCUGAGCAGCUGGGAAUCCUGACCCCUCCAUUCUUCUGCCUGCUCGCCUCCCUGAGCCAGGGCACUGAGUCAGCAUUCACGUCCUGUUAGUGGCUUGCAAAGCAGAGCAGAUGGACAGACAUGCUUGGGCAGCCUAUUGAUCGGCCCUCGGUGUGACCUGCCCAGACCUGGUUCUGUUCCAAGCACUGAUCAUGUGGACAAGGUGUGUGCAAGGCCUGGAAAACAGCAGUGGCCAAGUGUGAGGUGCUGGACCAAGUCCCUUGAGGAGAGCAGGGCCAGGAGGACUCCGGUCAGAGCCCCUCCCCACGCUGUCUUGAGGUGUCCCACUGGCUCACAGGAACCUCCUGGGCAGGAAAUGUCUGUGUUUGACCCUGCAGGCCUAGCCUUGGAGCUUGGACCCUGGUUGGGCCUGAAGGAAUUAGGUUGGAUCGAACUGGGUUCCAGGACCUUACAUUUCCAUUCCCUGUAGUGGGAGGCAGGGAGGAGACCCCCGGUUCUGGAGCGUCAGAUCUGCAAGGCCUCGGGCCUCUGGCU